UACGAAGGGGGCUAGCGUUGCUCGGAAUUACUGGGCGUAAAGCGCACGUAGGUGGUUUGCUAAGCCAGCUGUGAAAUCCCCGGGCUCAACCUGGGCACUGCAGUUGGAACUGGCAAGCUAGAGUAGGGUAGAGGGGUGUGGAAUUCCAGGUGUAGCGGUGAAAUGCGUAGAUAUCUGGAGGAACAUCAGUGGCGAAGGCGACACCCUGGACUCAUACUGACACUGAGGUGCGAAAGCGUGGGGAGCAAACAGG
rnacentral:rRNA from 1 species